ensembl:lincRNA Gm43612 predicted gene 43612
CCAUUGCUAUUUUUCUUUUUCAUUAUUACAUAUUUUCUUUAUUUACAUGUCAAAUGUUAUUCCUUUCCUCAUUUCCUCUCUGAAAACCCCCUAUCCCAUCCCCCCUCUUACUGCUCUCCAACCCACCCACUCCGACUUCCCUGUCUUGGAAUUUCCCCAUACUGGGACAUCAAACUUCACAGGAACAAGGGCCUCUCCUCCCAUUGAUGUCUGACAAGGUCAUCCUCUGCUACAUAUGCAGCUGGAGCUAUGGAUCCCUCCAUGUGCACUCUUUGGUUGGUGGUUUACCUUUCUAUUGCUAUGAUAAAACAUCAUGAUCUAUAUAUUAUCUAUCUAUCUAUCUAUCUAUCUAUCUAUCUAUCUAUCUAUCUAUAGAGAGGGAGAUAGAGAGAUAGAUGAUACAGAUAUACAUAUAGAUAUAGAUGAUAUAGAUAUAGAUAUAGAUAUAGAUAUAGAUAUAGAUAUAGAUAGACAUAGACAUAGACAUAGACAUAGACAUAGACAUAGACAUAGACAUAGACAUAGACAUAGACAUAGACAUAGACAUAGACAUAGAGACGAGUUUAUUUAGGACUUACAGUUUCAGAGGGGAAGAGUCCAUAACUACCCUGGUGGAGAGCACACAUGGGGGGUGCAGCUGUAGCUGAGAGUUCACAGUUUGAUCUACAAGCAUGAGGCAGAGCAAAAGAGACUCAACAGUGUCUUUUGACAGUGGAAAGCCUGCCCCCUAAUGGCACACCUACUCCAGAAGCUCCUAAUCCUUCCAAAGCAGUUAACUAAUGAGGGGCCAAGGAUUCAAACCUAUGAGCCUAUGCGGCCAGUCUCAUUCAAACUACCACACUUGCUAAUAUUGUUUACAUUCUCAAUGGCUUCAUGUAAAAACAGUAGAUUUUUCUCUGUGUCUUGCAGGACGGGGGUUGGUGGGGAGUUGAGAAGGUCAUUCGGCAUAGGCUACCGUAUGGUAUGGCUCUACUUUUCUAGAGCCUCAUUCUCCUCUAUAUUCACUUUGGGUAUGUGAAAUGAGGAAGAAUGUGGUAGCCUAAAGUUGCUCAUGUGACAUCAACAAUAUUUUGUCAGCCAGACCUCACUGCAAUGACUCAACCUUCAUCAUAAGGAAAGCUUGGGAGUGCUGUACAGUUUGGUUCCCAAAGAGAAGAAAAUGGAGGCCUGUUACCUCCAACCUGUAACUGCUAAGUUACUGCUAAGGUGACCUAGAGAUUAGUUGUGCCCAUCACACAAUAUUCUUUAUACCUCAAGGCUUCACAUUAUUACUUUUUUAAUACAACGGAAUAGCCACUAACUACCUUGGGUUUAAUUGUCAACAUGUUUCAAGUUUCAGCGUGUCACUUACUACAGUUUGAUAUGACUAGAAAAUGGCAAGAAUAUUUGAUUGACAAAUACACUUUUUAUUUAAGAAGGAACCUUGUACAUUAAUGACAGAAAUAAACAUGUUUCUGAAAAAUUAAAAUCCGGGAAGAGAGAUUGUUGCUGUUGUUUUUGUUGUUCUGAUGAGAUUGCCUGUUUGUGCCUACAAUUUAGGGCAGAAGACUUGUUUAUCAAACUUGAGUCUGACUGAAUUUAGACAGUGGGUAUUUGUAGGUCUCCUACAAUCGGAAUCCCUGAAGGAGAGAGGAUCACUUCUGUUUUAUUGUGUGUCUUUCUUGUAGGAAGCAUUUCUUCAUCACUAAUCUUUCAACUACUAACUUAUCUGGGAUGUGUUCCUUUAAAUUAAACAAACAAGUAGGCACAAUUAACUCACAAUAACUAGAGGCAAUUCAAAUGGUUUUCCUGUUUUAUUGUAGGAAAAUCUGCCGUAGAAAUGACCAAUUUAGCACUUGCUUUUGAAAUAUGCUUAAAUGUGAGUUUCAAGAAAUAAAAAGACUAUACCUUGACUUUUGUAAAUAAGGAAAUUGAAUUUUCCUUCGGAAGACUCUAUAUCUUCUGUCCCCAAAAAAGGAAGAGUUGUUUUGUAAAUAAGCUGUGUGCCCCACUUUUACAGGUUUUCUCUGAUUGCCUGGGUCUGAGUAGCCAACUGAAAGGGUUCAUUCAAAUCAGAAAUAUGAGACACUCUUUAUAGUGUGAUAUUUUAAAACUUGCAUAUCUGGCUGAGAAUUUUAUAAGCAGAGAUUUAAGAGGGCAGACUUGAAGACUGACUGGUCUCCAAGAGUCUCUCCUAACCUUGAAAUAUUAGUAUAUCAAAAGCCAGGAUUUCAUUACCCCCUCUAUCCAUAAAGAAAAUUAAAAUCAUAUGUGGUGCAGUAAGCUCAAACCAUUCAAAAUGCCCAUAAACAUAUUUAAAGCCCAAAAUACAACUUUUGCACAACUCUGAGUACCUUGCACAACUCUAGACAAGAGGCACUCACACAUGGUAGUUGUAAUUACUUUAUUUUAUGAUUUGACAAGAGCAUUGUUUGGUGGCUGUGGCAACUUAGUGGCAAAGAUUCCUGUGUACCACACACAAGGAAAACACUAUGAAUUCUUGUCCUUGAUUGGAAGGAGAUAGCAGGUUGUCUGUCUCAAGUGCAUGGCCAAGGGCGAUAGAUGGCACAUGUAGUCCCUGCACAUCUCUUUUCUGUAUUUUAGCUGAAUUUCUAUGGGUGAAAUUUAAUUAAUUGCAUAUACUUAAAAUAUUUUAUUUAAUAUACAUGUCUCAUUUGCCUAUAUGUGUAUCAUGUUUAACAACUGUUGAAAGAGUGUCUGUUGAAAAGGGUGUCAGAUCCUCUGAAACUGGAGUUAAAAGUGGUUUUGUGUCACCAUGUAGGUGCUGGGUACCGAACCCAAGUCCUCUGCAAAAGCAGGAGUGCUCUUAACUGCUGAGCCAUCUCUUCGUCCCUUGCCCACACAUAAUUUUGGUGAAAAGCCUAACUUCUUGCACUGGUUAUUCUAGGCCUUGGGGAGAAAGCCCUUUCCUAUCACUGUUUGAAAUAGAGAUAUGUCAACAGUUAAACACCAACCUUAAUUAACUUCCACUAGAACAUAACAUAUGUUAUACAAAGAUGUAGGAAGUGUGAAAUCCUUUGGAAAAAAAUGGGAAUUUCUCAGAAUCUGACUGAGUGGGAGGAAAGUUAUUAAUUAUUUUACUGACAUUAUUAUUUCAUUUCUUUGCAGCACUAGGAAUAAACCCUAGGCCUAAACGAAGCUCAACAAGCAAUUGUCACCCAGCUAUAAACCCACCCUUUUGACUUUGAAUUCUUAUUGUCCUAAAGACUCUCAACAUUUGAGGUCAUUAGGUUAACAAGCACCCAAAGAGGAAGGCAAAAU